AGAGUUUGAUCCUGGCUCAGGACGAACGCUGGCGGCGUGCCUAACACAUGCAAGUCGAGCGAGGUCCAUCCGGUGGCAACACCGGGGAAGACCGAGCGGCGAACGGGUGAGUAACACGUGAGAAACCUGCCCCGAAGUCUGGGAUAACCCGAGGAAACUCGAGCUAAUACCGGAUCCCCCCUCCUGGUCGCAUGGCCGGGAGAGGAAAGAACUUCGCUUCGGGAGGGUCUCGCGGCCUAUCAGCUAGUUGGUGGGGUAACGGCCUACCAAGGCAUCGACGGGUAGCUGGUCUGAGAGGACGAUCAGCCACACUGGGACUGAGACACGGCCCAGACUCCUGCGGGAGGCAGCAGUUAGGAAUCUUGCGCAAUGGGCGAAAGCCUGACGCAGCAACGCCGCGUGCGGGAUGAAGGCCUUAGGGUUGUAAACCGCUUUCGGCAGGGACGAAAUCAGACGGUACCUGCAGAAGAAGCCCCGGCCAACUACGUGCCAGCAGCCGCGGUAACACGUAGGGGGCAAGCGUUGUCCGGAUUUAUUGGGCGUAAAGAGCUCGUAGGCGGCUCGGUAAGUCGCGUGUGAAUCCUCCAGGCUCAACCUGGAGACGCCACUCGAUACUGCCGUGGCUAGAGUCCGGUAGAGGAGCGUAGAAUUCCUGGUGUAGCGGUGAAAUGCGCAGAUAUCAAGAGGAAUACCAGCGGCGAAGGCGGCGCUCUGGGCCGGUACUGACGCUGAGGAGCGAAAGCGUGGGGAGCAAACAGGAUUAGAUACCCUGGUAGUCC
rnacentral:rRNA from 1 species